UGGGGAAUAUUGCACAAUGGGCGAAAGCCUGAUGCAGCAACGCCGCGUGAGUGAUGAAGGCCUUCGGGUUGUAAAGCUCUGUCUUUUGGGACGAUAAUGACGAUACCAAAGGAGGAAGCCACGGCUAACUACGUGCCAGCAGCCGCGGUAAUACGUAGGUGGCAAGCGUUGUCCGGAUUUACUGGGCGUAAAGGAUGCGUAGGCGGAUUUUUAAGUGAGAUGUGAAAACCCUAAGCUUAACUUGGGGACUGCAUUUCAUACUGGAAAUCUAGAGUGCGGGAGAGGAGAAUGGAAUUCCUAGUGUAGCGGUGAAAUGCGUAGAGAUUAGGAAGAACACCAGUGGCGAAGGCGAUUCUCUGGACCGUAACUGACGCUGAGGCAUGAAAGCGUGGGUAGCAAACAGGAUUAGAUACCCUGGUAGUCCACGCCGUAAACGAUGAGUACUAGGUGUAGGAGGUAUCGACCCCUUCUGUGCCGCAGUUAACACAAUAAGUACUCCGCCUGGGAAGUACGAUCGCAAGAUUAAAACUCAAAUGAAUUGACGGGGUCAUAGCUGUUUUCCU
rnacentral:rRNA from 1 species